rnacentral:rRNA from 1 species
GAUGAACGCUGGCGGCGUGCCUAAUACAUGCAAGUCGAGCGAACAGAUGAGGAGCUUGCUCCUCUGACGUUAGCGGCGGACGGGUGAGUAACACGUGGAUAACCUACCUAUAAGACUGGGAUAACUUCGGGAAACCGGAGCUAAUACCGGAUAAUAUAUUGAACCGCAUGGUUCAAUAGUGAAAGACGGUUUUGCUGUCACUUAUAGAUGGAUCCGCGCCGCAUUAGCUAGUUGGUAAGGUAACGGCUUACCAAGGCAACGAUGCGUAGCCGACCUGGGAGGGUGAUAGGCCACACUGGAACUGAGACACGGUCCAGACUCCUACGGGAGGCAGCAGUAGGGAAUCUUCCGCAAUGGGCGAAAGCCUGACGGAGCAACGCCGCGUGAGUGAUGAAGGUCUUCGGAUCGUAAAACUCUGUUAUUAGGGAAGAACAAAUGUGUAAGUAACUAUGCACGUCUUGACGGUACCUAAUCAGAAAGCCACGGCUAACUACGUG